GCCUGCGUGGCUCAACGGUUAGAGCAUCCUCCUGUUGUAACAUUACCAUUCCAAUGAGUCCAUGAGGACGGUGCGGGUUCGACUCCCACCGCGGGCA